rnacentral:rRNA from 1 species
UACGAAGGGGGGCUAGCGUUGCUCGGAAUCACUGGGCGUAAGGGUGCGUAGGCGGGUCUUUUAAAGUCAGGGGUGAAAUCCUGGAGCUCAACUCCAGAACUGCCUUGAUACUGAAGAUCUUGAGUUCGGGAGAGGUGAGUGGAACUGCGAGUGUAGAGGUGAAAUUCGUAGAUAUUCGCAAGAACACCAGUGGCGAAGGCGGCUCACUGGCCCGAUACUGACGCUGAGGCA